rnacentral:rRNA from 1 species
UACGGAGGGGGCGAGCGUUAUUCGGAAUUAUUGGGCGUAAAGGGCGCGUAGGCGGCUGAACAAGUCAAAGGUGAAAUCCCUCGGCUCAACUGAGGAACUGCCUUUGAAACUGUUCGGCUUGAGGCCGGGAGGGGUAGCGGAAUUCCCAGUGUAGCGGUGAAAUGCGUAGAUAUCGGGAGGAACACCUGUGGCGAAAGCGGCGCACUGGACCAUAACUGACGCUGAGGCGCGAAAGCUAGGGAGCAAACAGG